GGAUCAUUACCGAGUUUACAACUCCCAAACCCCUGUGAACAUACCUUAAUGUUGCCUCGGCGGAUCAGCCCGCGCCCCGUAAAACGGGACGGCCCGCCAGAGGACCCAAACUCUAAUGUUUCUUAUUGUAACUUCUGAGUAAAACAAACAAAUAAAUCAAAACUUUCAACAACGGAUCUCUUGGUUCUGGCAUCGAUGAAGAACGCAGCAAAAUGCGAUAAGUAAUGUGAAUUGCAGAAUUCAGUGAAUCAUCGAAUCUUUGAACGCACAUUGCGCCCGCUGGUAUUCCGGCGGGCAUGCCUGUUCGAGCGUCAUUUCAACCCUCAAGCCCCCGGGUUUGGUGUUGGGGAUCGGCUCUGCCCUUCUGGGCGGCGCCGCCCCCGAAAUACAUUGGCGGUCUCGCUGCAGCCUCCAUUGCGUAGUAGCUAACACCUCGCAACUGGAACGCGGCGCGGCCAUGCCGUAAAACCCCAACUUCUGAAUGUUGACCUCGGAUCAGGUAGGAAUACCCGCUGAACUUAAGCAUAUCAAA
rnacentral:rRNA from 1 species